rnacentral:lncRNA from 1 species
UGAAUGGAUACUUUCUCUAAUAAGUGCUCACAAAUACAGCUAUGGGAGGAUUCCACCAAAUUUACCUCAAUUUCCAUUAUUUCAAUAUGCAUUUACACAUAUUCUGAUGUUUAUUGACCAAUGCUCCGUAAAAAUCCAAAGGCAAAUGAGUGAAUGAUGGUAAGCCUCGAGACCACACGGUGGCGCUGUUUCAUCAUACUUGAGAGAGGCUUUAGCACUUUGCAGGAGACCACGGCCCCCUGGUAAGUACUGAGCAGGACUUGAAUCCAGACCUUGUCUUGCACACCCAAACUGCUCUCCUCGUCCAUGAGCCGCCCUGCUUGCUUCCCGGACCCUGACGCUAUGAUGGCCAGGACCUACCUGUAUGUUUAUAAACCACUAUCAGCUGCUGGCCACUCUAAAUAGGUGGCACCUGAGACCAGACGCAAACUCCUGAGAAGCGAGUGAAGCUGAAGCCUGAGGCCCUUCUUCCUCACAGGCCUCUGUGAGUUCUGUGAGGAGUCAUCGAGUUUUCCAGAAGAGAGGAAGCUGGGUUGCAAUCAGAAAGCAUUUCUAAUCAGCCAUUUUUGGUAAAUUGCCUAAAGAGAUCUUCAUGAGAAAAAGGAUCUAAACUUACAAGUCUCCAAUAAUUUUUUGUGAUAUCAUUUUUCAUUCUAAAGAAAUGUUCACUUUCCUGCCUAAUUUUGUAUUUGUAAUUGUAUAUUCUUUUUAAAAGAAAUCAUAUGAGCUUUGGGCUUCACAAAAUCAGGAUCUCCCCUGCCUGUGCCUUUUUCCAGUGCUUAAACAUUUUGCCUCUCAUCCCCUAAAAAGCUAAACAAUUUAUUGUGAUCUUGAAGCCAUCAUUGCUGGGCAUAGUCCUGAAAUAUAGUUUUCCUGCAAAAGGAGAGGGAGGGGAGGAAGAAGGAAGGGAAGAAGGAAGGGAAGAAGGACAGAAAUGCACAAGAUUAUAUGUAGAGUUAGUAAUUCAUUUAAUGUUAAGGAAGGAAAGUCACCACCAUUACAAGCGCCUCUUUAAAAAAAAAAAAA